GCGCUUGUAACCAGACUUUGAGUAUUGUGGUUCCCCCUUGCUUUUGCUUGGGCUACUCCAUUUUAUCCAGGCCAACAUCGGUUUCAGGGGUUGGUUAAAGGCUUUAGCAAUGUAUCUACCUCCGGGUAGACUUAUAGGCUAGAGUGUCAUGCAACCUCCCGGGACCGAGGUACGCGCUUCGGCGAGGAUGUUGGCGUAAUGGUUAUAAGCGACCCGUCUUGAAACACGGACCAAGGAGUC
rnacentral:rRNA from 1 species